GCUCCGCGGCGCCGCCCUCGCCCCGCCCCGCCCCGCCGGCGCCGGUCGCGCGGACCCGCCGUGGUCCCCGGAGCGGAGCGCGCCGCGGCCGCAGUAGCUGGGCGCCUCCCCCGCGCUGCCGCGCGCCCGCCUGCUCGCCUGCCCGCCCGCCGGCCCCGGCUCCGCUCGGCCAUCUUCGCGGCUCCCGCCCUCACCAGCUCCGGUCGCGCGCCCUGUCCCCGCGCGCGGACUUUCCCGGAAAGUUUGGUGGUUCUUCUCCGCCGCCGCAGGCAGCGGCGCCGCGCCCCACGUCCGCCAAACUUUGGGGCUCACUGGCGCGAUGAGCGUCCCUCCGCUGCUGCGACCGCCUAGCCCGCUCCUGCCCGCCGCGGCCGCCGUGGCUGCUGCCGCCGCUGCGCUGGUCCCAGGCUCCGGGCCCGCGCCCUUCCCGGCGCCUGGGGCCGCCCCGGCGGGGGGCAUCUCGUUCCAUCUGCAGAUCGGCCUGAGCCGCGAGCCGGUGCUGCUCCUGCAGGACUCCUCUGGCGACUACAGCCUGGCGCAUGUCCGGGAGAUGGCUUGUUCCAUCGUGGACCAGAAGUUCCCCGAAUGUGGUUUCUAUGGACUCUAUGAUAAGAUCCUGCUUUUUCGGCACGAUCCUGCCUCCGACAACAUCCUUCAGCUGGUGAAAAUCGCAAGUGAUAUCCAGGAGGGUGAUCUCAUUGAAGUGGUCCUGUCAGCUUCAGCCACCUUCGAAGACUUCCAGAUCCGGCCCCAUGCUCUCUUCGUUCAUUCAUACAGAGCCCCAGCUUUCUGUGAUCACUGUGGAGAAAUGCUGUGGGGGCUGGUGCGUCAAGGCCUUAAAUGUGAAGGAUGUGGUCUGAAUUACCAUAAGAGAUGUGCAUUUAAAAUCCCCAACAAUUGCAGUGGAGUUAGAAGGAGAAGACUCUCCAAUGUGUCCCUCACUGGACUCGGUACUGUCCGCACAGCAUCGGCUGAGUUCUCCACCAGUGUCCCUGAUGAGCCUUUACUGUCUCCUGUGAGCCCUGGCUUUGAGCAAAAGUCUCCAUCUGAGUCAUUUAUCGGCCGUGAGAAGAGGUCAAAUUCGCAGUCAUACAUCGGACGGCCGAUUCAGCUCGACAAGCUCCUGAUGUCUAAGGUGAAGGUGCCACACACCUUUGUCAUCCACUCCUACACACGGCCCACGGUCUGCCAGUUCUGUAAGAAGCUCCUCAAGGGCCUCUUCCGGCAGGGCUUGCAGUGCAAAGAUUGCAGAUUCAACUGUCACAAACGCUGCGCACCAAAAGUACCAAACAACUGCUUGGGUGAAGUGACCAUCAAUGGAGAAUUACUUAGCCCUGGUGCAGAAUCUGAUGUUGUUAUGGAAGAAGGGAGUGAUGACAAUGACAGUGAGCGGAACAGUGGGCUCAUGGAUGACAUGGACGAGGCCAUGGUCCAAGAUACUGAGAUGGCUUUGGCAGAGGGCCAGAGUGGAGGUGCAGAGAUGCAAGAUCCAGAUGCAGACCAGGAGGACUCCAACAGAACCAUCAGCCCUUCAACGAGCAACAACAUCCCGCUCAUGAGGGUAGUGCAGUCUGUGAAGCACACGAAGCGGAGGAGCAGCACUGUGAUGAAGGAAGGGUGGAUGGUCCACUACACCAGCAAGGACACACUGCGGAAAAGGCACUACUGGAGAUUGGACAGCAAAUGCAUAACACUCUUCCAAAAUGACACAGGGAGCCGGUACUACAAGGAAAUUCCUUUAUCAGAAAUAUUAUGUCUGGAACCAGCAAAACCUUCAGCUUUAACUCCCGUUGGAGCGACUCCUCAUUGUUUUGAAAUCACUACAGCGAAUGUAGUGUAUUAUGUGGGAGAAAACGUGGUUAACCCAUCAAGUUCCCCACCAAACAACAGUGUUCUCCCCAGUGGCAUCGGUCCGGAUGUGGCCAGGAUGUGGGAGGUGGCCAUCCAGCAUGCUCUUAUGCCCGUCAUCCCCAAGGGCUCCUCUGUUGGCUCCGGAUCCAACUCACACAAAGAUAUUUCUGUGAGCAUUUCCGUUUCAAAUUGCCAGAUUCAGGAAAAUGUGGAUAUCAGCACAGUCUAUCAAAUAUUUCCUGAUGAAGUUCUGGGUUCCGGACAGUUUGGAAUUGUUUAUGGAGGUAAACAUCGUAAAACAGGAAGAGAUGUAGCUAUUAAGAUUAUUGACAAAUUAAGAUUUCCUACAAAACAAGAAAGUCAGCUUCGUAAUGAGGUUGCAAUUUUACAGAACCUUCAUCACCCUGGUGUUGUAAAUUUGGAGUGUAUGUUUGAGACGCCUGAAAGAGUGUUUGUUGUUAUGGAAAAACUCCAUGGAGACAUGCUGGAGAUGAUCUUGUCAAGUGAAAAGGGCAGGUUGCCAGAACACAUAACGAAGUUUUUAAUUACUCAGAUACUAGUGGCUUUGCGACAUCUUCAUUUUAAAAACAUCGUUCACUGUGACCUCAAGCCAGAAAAUGUGUUGCUGGCAUCAGCCGACCCUUUCCCUCAGGUGAAGCUCUGUGAUUUUGGUUUUGCCCGGAUCAUUGGAGAGAAGUCUUUUAGGAGGUCAGUGGUGGGUACCCCAGCAUACCUGGCACCUGAAGUUCUGAGGAACAAGGGCUAUAACCGCUCUCUGGACAUGUGGUCUGUUGGGGUCAUCAUCUAUGUGAGCCUGAGUGGUACCUUCCCUUUUAAUGAAGAUGAAGAUAUCCAUGAUCAGAUCCAGAAUGCAGCCUUCAUGUAUCCACCCAACCCGUGGAAGGAGAUUUCUCAUGAAGUAACACCUGUCAUGACAGUGUCAUAGUGAGUGGGUAAAUGAGAACACCACCAUGACUCUACAUCUGCCAUGUGCCCACAAAGGAGGAUUUCCAGUGGACUCUCGAUGGAAUUCUUUUCCCCAUAUCCUUUCAUUUGCUCUGAAUCAUAGCACAAGUCCUGUGGCCCCUUUAUCUGUAUGACUUGAUUUUCCAGCUUUGGCUUUUGCCAGAGUUAUUCUUAGAAGGAGAAAGUGAUAUGGAUCACCAGACACUGCGGGCUGCAAGGCUGAUAAAGAGAGAUGUAGUCUGCUUCAGUGUGAGUUGCCUCACUAAGUGAAUAAGACCAUCCUUGCAGUGAGGAAUUUGAAAGCAUUUGUUCAAGUAACAGUGCAUUGUCAUCAUCAAAUUGAUGUGGUCAAUUAGAGAUGUGCAUUACAUUUGAGAAAGGUUAGUAAUGGGCAGGGAAGAGAUUACUGUUUUUUUUUUCCUUCUGAGUUUUGAUACUCCCUCAUAUGCCAUUAGGGAGGCGAAAAGGCAGUAAUCAACACAGAGCCAGCCUGGGAAAUUGUCUCACAAGGAGACCCUGACCCCUGCAGACAGAAGAUCAUUUUCUGUGUUCACAGGUGAAGUCUGAAAGAGCACCUAGUCCCAGGCCACCUGCAGUGUUGUUGCUGCUCAGACCUAGAGUCACAUGACUAGUUGGUAUUAUUAAAAAUUCUGAUCAAAGAGAAAGGCUUGACAUGCCACAUAUAUAAAUAUGAGGAAGAAAAUGGAAAUACCCUUACACUGAUUUCAAAUCUUGUCCUCACUGCAGCAUCAGUUAAUUAUCAGAUUGGGCUGAUUUGGUGACAACAGGUUUUUCCCACUAGUGAGCCCUCCCAGCAUCAACUGUAUAUCCAUGCCUCUUUUUCCCUCUGAUUGGCAGGGCUCUAAAGUAUCCUCCCAGUUGAGCUCAGUUUCCAGCUGUAUAUGGUAGAUUAUGUGAUACUGCAGAAUGUCCAAUAGCCGUAAGAUACCACUAUAUGUAUCAAAACAUUCACAUUUUAUUUUAAAGUAGUUUUUGCCAUUCAACUUGAUAAGUUCAAAUAAAAUUGGCUUCAAGUGUGUUUUUACCCCCAAAUUGGAAAAUACAGCCAGUACAAAUACAAAGAAAAGCUAAAUAAAUGCUGAGCAUCAUCAGCGCAUGGUAUGCUUUCAGAACCCAACAGUGUUCCAGAAUGCUAAAUAGUUCAUAAAUAGUGCUUUGCCAUGAAAUGGAACCAGCCUAGAUCCUUCUUUCGCGACAUUUUGUUCAAAAAUAAAUAAAUAAAUCAGCUCACAAAUGUAAGUUUUAGUUACAUAAGACCCAGACAUCCAAUGGUAUGAGAAACAAAAGAAAGACAAUUGUCAUCUUACUAAUUAAGCUGGGUGGUAACAGUUUAUGAGGCAUGCAGAUCCCACAAGCUUACUGAAUAUUAAUGAAUAGAUUGAUUUGUCAACAUAUUAACACCACUGUCAGACAGAACAGGACACAAGAGAGGUGCUGGGACUAGCCAGAGAAGUGCUUCAAAAUGCUGUCAGGGUGCCAGGAGUGCAGCCACAGUUGAUAAAGUGAAUUGAGUUAUGUAGGUCAGAACCUCUUUUUUUUUUUUUUUUUUUUUUUUUUUUUUGCAGGCGUGGGUAACAUUUUAAAUGACCUCAAUUUAAAAUUCUGGAACCAUGUUUAAAUUUUAGAAGACCCUUUCAUUGUAUUCGUUAAAAGGAAAGUUAACAAUUGUGAGCCUGUGGUAUGUGAUAAUUUGAAAAAAAAUGUCCAGUAGAGUGAGUUUAUAUGUUUUUAUGUACAUCAAUAGUUCCUAAUGUAGUGAGGUAAGAUGGGAAAGUCUGUCCCACUAAGAAAGGACUCAUUUAUCAGGAAUUCAAGUUCAAUAUGGUUAGUAUGAUUUUGUCUAAUAAAUGGCCAUUUGAGAAAAGGGUCAUAAAUUUUAUCAGGAUGGUUAAUAUUGUAUUUCUUUAUAAUUGGUUGUUUAUUUGUCCCCACAAUAAUAAAAUAUUUGUGUAAUAUUUGAAUAAAAAUUGAAAAUUGUGCUCAACAUAGCUGAGCUGAAAUAUGGCUUCUACACCCAUUGUAGAUGUCUGAGUAAAGGGUCAAAUAUGGUAAUUAUUUGAUUUUUGCCUCUAUCCACAUAACAAAAGAGAAUAGUCCAAAAACAUAGAUAAUAAUUUAAGAAAACUAAAAGAUAUCUUACCUAGCACUUAGAUUGUCCUAGCGUAUACCAAUACACUGAACAAUUAUUCAGAAUAUUUUCAGUUUCUUCUAGGCAUAGAAAGUAUGCAGGUAUAUCCAGAAGAUGCCCCAACAGCAGAAAAUGCGACCAAAUGUGAAGCAGAGAGUAGCCAUUGAUGGAAUACUUUCUAUAGAGGAAAGAACUAAGAGCACCGAAGCCAUCAGCUCGAGUCUCUAAAGGUCUUACACUUCAUUGGAUUCCGCCAUUGAUCUUAUCAAUAACUUGCUACAAGUGAAAAUGAGAAAACGCUACAGUGUGGAUAAAACCUUGAGUCACCCUUGGCUACAGGACUAUCAGACCUGGUUAGAUUUACGAGAGCUGGAAUGCAGAAUUGGAGAACGCUAUAUUACCCACGAAAGCGAUGACUCCAGGUGGGAACAGUACGCAGGCGAGCAGGGGCUGCAGUACCCGGCGCACCUGAUCAGUCUGAGUGCUAGCCACAGCGACAGUCCUGAGGCUGAAGAGAGAGAGAUGAAAGCCCUCAGUGAGCGUGUCAGCAUCCUCUGAUUCCAUCCCCUCUAAUCUGUCAAAACACUGUGGAAUUAAUAAAUACAUACGGUCAGGUUUAACAUUUGCCUUGCAGAACUGCCAUUAUUUUCUGUCAGAUGAGAACAAAGCUGUUAAACUGUUAGCACUGUUGAUGUAUCUGAGUUGCCAAGACAAAUCAACAGAAGCAUUUGUAUUUUGUGUGACCAACUGUGUUGUAUUAACAAAAGUUCCCGGAAACACUAAACUUGUUAUUGUGAAUGAUUUAUGUUAUAUUUAAUACAUUAAACCUGUCUCCACUGUGCCUUUGCAAAUCAGUGUUUUUCCUACCAGAGCCUCAUUUUGGUGAGAGCCAGGACCUAUCCAGGACACCAUUGUGUUUGGUGUGCUCCCAUUGAUAGUGGUGUUGUAAGCAAACUCUUGAGGAGUAGAUAAUCUGCCGGUGUUCUAUGAACAACUCAAAAUGCACAGUAGGUGGGGGCAGGGAGAAUGAAAGAUGAGGAGAGGGCGUAAAUGUCCUCAGAUUGACUCGCAUGGAAACAGUUCUACUGUGUGGUUUCAACUGUUCUGCCUGUCUGUUGUGCCUCAGUGUAUUUAAACUCUAGUAAGUGCACCUCAAUAUGUGGAGCUACUGCUCUAAGCCUAAAUGCCUUAGAAUGUAAACUGCUAUCCAUACCAGAUGCAUUUCUUCCUUUCUUACAAUACCAACUGUAUCCACGGAAAACCAGCAACUCAGCAAAUGUUGGCCUUUUGUGUAUUUUUCAAUAAUAAGAAAUAAAUCUUCUUUUCAAAGUUGG